CGAGGGACCUCGCUUCCCCUUGCCCUCGGCAGCCGGUGCGCGCGCGCGCGCGCUGCUUUCCCCUCCCCCCUCCCCCCGUCUCCUCGCUCUACGGGCGGGGGCGCGGGCUCCCCCCUCCCCCGCGCGGCAGGUGCCCGCGCGGACUCUCCCCCCCGUCGUCCGGCCGCGGCGGCGGUUGCCGCGCGCUCGCGCGGGUAACGGCCCGCUCAGUUGUCCCCCGCCCCCCCAUCUUUCGGGCACGGCAGAAGGAGCCCGUUCUGCGGAGGGUGCGCCAGCAGGGCAACGGGAGACAGGCCUUGGGGUCUCCCCGCCGUGGCAAGGCUCGGAGCGUACUCGCUAACUGCCUAAACCUUUCCCCAUGGAGAGCCCUGGAAAUGCCGUGGGCGUCAGCUGGGGACUGGGUUCGCGCCCUCCUCACUGGAGGGGCCCCAGUGUUGCUGCAGCCCGGUGCACAUAGGUAGACCUAGCCUUGCUGGCCCCUGGAUAUGCACUGGUCUGCGACGGAGUUUUGGAGGAAAGAACAACGCAGUUCUCACAGGCCGUGGAGUGACCCAGCUGGGUGAAAGGGGAAGGCAUUCACUUGAGCCGGUCAGUCAUUUCUGUAACUGCAGACGUAGCCUCUGCAAACCAUAGUGGCCCAUUCUGGCAACAGAGAACAAAGGACAGAUGGUAUCUACCCAGGCAGUGAUUCAUACAGAUGAAAUAUAAGGGGAAGAAAGAAUAUUAGGAGCAUCUGCAUCAAAUCUGUGUCCAUAGAUGACAUCCAUGAAUAGCACAUACUGUUAAUUUAGUUUUAUUAAAUUAAAAAAUGAGUCAGUUGCAGCGGUGGCUGUGAUUUGUUAUGUCUGAGAAGAUCAGACUACUGAUUAAAGCACUACACUGUGA